AGAGUUUGAUCCUGGCUCAGGACGAACGCUGGCGGCAUGCCUAAUACAUGCAAGUCGAGCGAACUGACGGAGGAACUUGUUCCUCUUGACGUGAGCGGCGGACGGGUGAGUAACACGUGGGAAACCUACCUUUCAGCGGGGGAUAACGUUCGGAAACGGACGCUAAUACCGCAUAACGUUAACAGUCGCAUGAUUGUUAAAUAAAAGACGGCUCUGCUGUCACUGAAAGAUGGACCCGCGGUGCAUUAGUUAGUUGGUAAGGUAACGGCUUACCAAGACGAUGAUGCAUAGCCGACCUGAGAGGGUGAUCGGCCACACUGGGACUGAGACACGGCCCAGACUCCUACGGGAGGCAGCAGUAGGGAAUCUUCCGCAAUGGACGCAAGUCUGACGGAGCAAUGCCGCGUGUAUGAAGAAGGUCUCCGGAUCGUAAAGUACUGUUAUCAGCCAAGAACAAUUCACAGAGUAACUGUUGUGGAUCUGACGGUAACUGAUCAGAAAGCCACGGCUAACUACGUGCCAGCAGCCGCGGUAAUACGUAGGUGGCAAGCGUUGUCCGGAUUUAUUGGGCGUAAAGGGAGCGCAGGCGGUGACUUAAGUCUGAUGUGAAAGCCCACGGCUCAACCGUGGAAGGUCAUUGGAAACUGGGUCACUUGAAUGGAGCAGAGGAGAACGGAAUUCCAUGUGUAGCAGUGAAAUGCGUAGAUAUAUGGAGGAACACCAGUGGCGAAGGCGGUUCUCUGGGCUCACAUUGACGCUGAGGCUCGAAAGCGUGGGGAGCGAACAGGAUUAGAUACCCUGGUAGUCC
rnacentral:rRNA from 1 species